rnacentral:rRNA from 1 species
UGGGGGAUAUUGCACAAUGGGCGAAAGCCUGAUGCAGCGAUGCCGCGUGGGGGAAGAAGGUUUUCGGAUUGUAAACCCCUGUCUUUGGGGACGAUAAUGACGGUACCCAAGGAGGAAGCUCCGGCUAACUACGUGCCAGCAGCCGCGGUAAUACGUAGGGAGCGAGCGUUGUCCGGAAUUACUGGGUGUAAAGGGAGUGUAGGCGGGACGGUAAGUCAGGUGUGAAAUUUAUGGGCUCAACCCAUAACCUGCACUUGAAACUACUGUUCUUGAGUGAAGUAGAGGUUGGCGGAAUUCCUAGUGUAGCGGUGAAAUGCGUAGAUAUUAGGAGGAACACCAGUGGCGAAGGCGGCCAACCGGGCUUUUACUGACGCUGAGGCUCGAAAGCGUGGGGAGCAAACA